UGGGCACUGUUUUCGUGUGGUGGUGAGAUUUUAUUUUGAUUCUAGCACCAUAUGAAAUCAGUUCUUG
rfam:Tribolium castaneum strain Georgia GA2 linkage group LG9, whole genome shotgun sequence.